AAAGAGCUGUACUCAUCACGAUUUCCCAACACUUCUCCCUCGCACGCUCUGUGGCGAUCCCGGGAGCCAGGUUUUGAUGUCACUCCAGCAAAGGCAUUACCAAACAGAUCGCAAGGAAGCAGUGCUGGAAGAGCACAAAGAUUAUACCAGCCCACACUGGAUCCCAGGAAAAUGAUCCUCACUGGACCCCAGGGAAAGGAUCCACUCCAGCUCUCCAAAU